rnacentral:rRNA from 1 species
GUGUCAGCCGCCGCGGUAAUACGUAGGGUGCGAGCGUUGUCCGGAAUUACUGGGCGUAAAGAGCUCGUAGGUGGUUUGUCGCGUUGUUCGUGAAAACUCACAGCUUAACUGUGGGCGUGCGGGCGAUACGGGCAGACUAGAGUACUGCAGGGGAGACUGGAAUUCCUGGUGUAGCGGUGGAAUGCGCUGUUAUCAGGAGGAACCCCGGUGGCGAAGGGGGGUCUCUGGGCAGUAACUGACGCUGAGGAGCGAAAGCGUGGGGAGCGAACAGGAUUAGAUACCCUG